rnacentral:rRNA from 1 species
GAUGAACGCUGGCGGCGUGCCUAAUACAUGCAAGUCGAGCGAACAGACGAGGAGCUUGCUCCUCUGACGUUAGCGGCGGACGGGUGAGUAACACGUGGAUAACCUACCUAUAAGACUGGGAUAACUUCGGGAAACCGGAGCUAAUACCGGAUAAUAUAUUGAACCGCAUGGUUCAAUAGUGAAAGACGGUUUUGCUGUCACUUAUAGAUGGAUCCGCGCCGCAUUAGCUAGUUGGUAAGGUAACGGCUUACCAAGGCAACGAUGCGUAGCCGACCUGAGAGGGGGGUCGGCCACACUGGAACUGGGCCACGGUCCAGACUCCUACGGGAGGCAGCAGUCGGGAAUCUUCCGCAAUGGGCGAAAGCAUGACGGAGCAACGCCGCGUGAGUUAUGAAGGUCUUCGGAUCGUAAAACUCUGUUAUUAGGGAAGAACAAAUGUGUAAGUAACUAUGCACGUCUUGACGGUACCUAAUCAGAAAGCCACGGCUAACUACGUG